CCCCCCCCGUGGGAUCCGCCUUGACGUGGUGGGGGGGCUUGCGGGCUCUUAGCUGAGUCUUACCAAGCGAUCC
rnacentral:ribozyme from 1 species